GCGGGGAUAGCUUAGUUGUGAGAGUGUCAGAUUGAAGAUCUAAAGGUCAUAUGUUCGAUCCACGUUCACCACA
rnacentral:tRNA from 1 species